CAGCCCUGUAGGAGACACCUCCAGAGAAAGUAACAGCUCUCAAUUGAUUAGCUGAGGAAGACACCAGACAAAUGAGUUACACUGUUUUGGACUCCCCAACACAACCCAGCCACCGGCUGAAUGCCACCAAAUUACCUUCUAGUUAAAGGUUUAUGGAGCAAACGAAUCACCUAUUCAAUAUCUGCUUGAAUUUCUGACUCAAAAUACAUCAGGCUGGAGUGCAGUGGUACAAUCAUGACUCAUUGCAGCCUCAAUCUCCCAGGCUCAAAAGAUCCUCCCACCUCAGCCUCCCAAGUAGCUGGGAUUAGAGAAGCCUCAGGGGCUGGAUCCUGACAUGAACCAGACACCUCCAGAAUUCUAUCCCAAGCAAAAGAUUAUUUCAAGGCCAGAACUCACUCCCUGCUGGAGACUGACUACAAGAUCCACUGAGAUUGAUGUGUAACCUGAUUGGGCCCACAGUGAUGCUAGCCCCUUCACCAGAUGGAACAAUAAUUCCAGACAAGCCAUCAGAGCAGAGAGCAGAGAAGAGGAGAAGCAGCUGGAUGUCAGAGACUGCAGUUUGACGUUGGAGAAAAGCAGCUUGACUUCAGAGGGACAGCUUGACAGCAUGGAUUCAGAGAGGAGAAGAUCACCUUCCUGCUCCGUCCCCUUUCCAGCUCCCUUUCCCACUGAGAGCCACUUACACAGGCAAUAAAAUCCUCUGCAUU
rnacentral:lncRNA from 10 species